AAGAGAGAGACAUGCGCGCAUAUCAAUAAGCGGAGGAAAAGAAACUAACAAGGAUUCCCCUAGUAACGGCGAGUGAAGCGGGAAGAGCUCAAAUUUGAAAUCUUAAAGGGUUUCCCUUUACGAAUUGUAGUUUAAAGAAGUGUUUUCUGUUGAGGUUUUGGUAAAAGUUCUUUGGAAUAGGACAUCAUAGAGGGUGAGAAUCCCGUAUUUGACCUUUACUUUCAACUUUGUGAUACACUUUCAAAGAGUCGGAUUGUUUGGGAAUGCAGUCCAAAAUGGGUGGUAAAUUUCAUCUAAAGCUAAAUAUUGGCGAGAGACCGAUAGCGAACAAGUACCGUGAGGGAAAGAUGAAAAGAACUUUGAAAAGAGAGUUAAACAGUACGUGAAAUUGUCAAAAGGGAAGCAUUUGACACCAGUGUUGUUUUUCUGAAAAUCAAUUAAAGAACUGUUUAUGCUAAGUUGUUUAGACUUUAUCAGCUAACUGUUUAGUUUUGAGCUUUUCUUUAAUGCACUUUUCAGUUAACAAGUCAACAUCAAUUUCUUUUGCUGUAAAAAAGCUUGAGGAAGGUGGCUUGAGAUUCGUCUUAAGUGUUUAUAGCCUCUUGCCUAUGCAGUCGGAGAGAUUGAGGUCUGCAGCGUAGAUCCUUCGGGGCUAAAUGCAUUUGUGCUAAGUUAUAGCAUUUUAUAGACAACUUGUUGACUAUGAUUUGUCUUGUAGCUUACUCGCUUAUGUUAUUUUACCUACGCUUAGGAUGUUGAGCGCAUGUCUCUCUCU
rnacentral:rRNA from 1 species